UUUAUAUCUACUGCUUUGAUUAAUUUUGAAAAACUAUAUUAAAUAAUAUUUCUAAGAUAAUUGGUACACAGGGUAAUUUUUUUUUAUGACAUUCCACUUUUAAAUUUGAGUAAGGGACGAGUAUAGUGGAACAUCAUUUGUGUUACGUCAGAGCGCAUGGCGUUUGUAUAGCGCCUAUCUAUUCUGCCUUAAUAAACAAAAACGACAUAAGUCAACAGAAAACAUUUUUGAGAAAAACAGGUUUUCAUAUUUUACAUUUUUUAAACUUCAUAAUAUCUCCUAUAUUUUACUUAUCAAAGUAUGAUAUGGAUUUUCAUG